UCCUCUCUCUCACACGUACUCACAGCGACACAACCUCACCCUCUUUCUCUCGUAGUCUGGCAUGUCUCUCUCUACCCUAGGUUAAGCCGUCAAACACCCGUCCACCGGCCAAGCGGCCACCUCUUACUCUCGCAGUCUCUGUCUCACUACUCAUGCCUCUCUAUCUCUAUCAGAGGGUUACUGGGUGGGUAAGGUCAUCAAGUGAGCAAUGUGAAUUCUUUUUUACAACGGCUGGUUAUUUGGGUGAUGAUUGAAGAAUAUGUUGGUUUUGGUUUGGAUUGUGGGGAAAGUGUGCUGGUUGAUGAUUUAAUUUCAACUUGUACUUCAUGUUAGCACCUCUGUGCAUUUCUCAUUUUUUUUCCCUUGUUUUGUUUUGGUUUUCUUUCUCCCUGUAUCUGGUUUUCUUCUUUUCUUUAAUUGCUUGAUUGUAUCUGAUUUCUUUUGUAAAUGGAUGGGCACCCCUUUGCAUUUUAA